rnacentral:rRNA from 1 species
AGUGAGAAUGCCGGAAUGAGUAGCGAGAAUUAUGUGAGAAUCAUAAUGGCCGAAAAUCUAAGGUUUCCUGAGGAAGGUUCGUCCGCUCAGGGUAAGCCGGGGGCUAAGGCGAGGCGGAGACGCGUAGCCGAUGCACAUACGGUUGAAAUUCCGUAGCCACCGAAAGAUUUAAGUACAGGGACGCUUUAGAAGUGAUGUAGCCGGGCGAUGGUUGACCCGGUCGUAAGGGAUCGAAAAUGAGUAGAGAAGUCAUCAUGGAAAGAGACAAGAAAAGCUGUAUGGAUAUCUUAGGUGCCCGUACCGCAAACCGACACAGGUAGAUAGGAAGAAGAUUCUAAGGCCAACGGGAGAAGGGUUGUUAAGGAACUCGGCAAGUUGACCCCGUAACUUAGGGAUAAGGGGUGCUCAAGUGAUUGAGCCGCAGAGAAUAGGCCCAGGCGACUGUUUAGCAAAAACACAGGUCUCUGCUAAAUCGAAAGAUGACGUAUAGGGGCUGACACCUGCCCGGUGCCGGAAGGUUAAGAGGAGAUGUGAGAGCAUUGAAUUGAAGCCCCGGUAAACGGCGGCCGUAACUAUAACGGUCCUAAGGUAGCGAAAUUCCUUGUCAGGUAAGUUCUGACCCGCACGAAAGGUGUAACGAUCUGGGCACUGUCUCAACAACCCGCCCGGCGAAAUUGUAGUACCGGUGAAGAUGCCGGUUACCCGCGACUAGACGGAAAGACCCCAUGGAGCUUUACUGUAGCCUAAUAUUGGAUUUCGGUAUUUCACGUACAGGAUAGGUGGGAGACUGGGAAGCACAGGCGUCAGCUUGUGUGGAGUCGACCUUGGGAUACCACUCUUGGAGUGCUGGAAUUCUAACCUGCGGCUUUGAAGCAAGUCGGGGGACAUUGUUAGGUGGGCAGUUUGACUGGGGCGGUCGCCUCCUAAAGAGUAACGGAGGCGUUCAAAGGUUCGCUCAGCUUGAACGGAAAUCAAGCAAAAGAGUGCAAACGCAGAAGCGAGCCUAACUGCGAGACUGACGGGUCGAGCAGUAACGAAAGUUGGAGUUAGUGAUCCGGCGGUAUGUGAAUGGAAAUGCC